GUUGACCUCGGAUCAAGUAGGGAUACCCCGCUGAA
rnacentral:rRNA from 1 species